UACGGGGGGGGGCAAGCGUUGUUCGGAAUUACUGGGCGUAAAGGGCUCGUAGGCGGCCAACUAAGCCAGACGUGAAAUCCCUCGGCUUAACCGGGGAACUGCGUCUGAUACUGGAUGGCUUGAGUAUGGGAGAGGGAUGCGGAAUUCCAGGUGUAGCGGUGAAAUGCGUAGAUAUCUGGAGGAACACCCCGUGGCGAAGGCGGCCCUCUGGUACGUGACUGACGCUGAGACGCGAAAAGCGUGGGGGAGCAAACAGG
rnacentral:rRNA from 1 species